GACGAACGCUGGCGGCGUGGAUUAGGCAUGCAAGUCGAACGGUAUCAUCCUUUCGGGGGUGAGAGAGUGGCGAACUGGUGAGUAACACGUAGGUUAUCUACCCUCAAGACGGGGACAACCCAGGGAAACUUGGGCUAAUACCGGAUGUGAGCAACUUUUAGUUGUUUGAAAGGUGGCGUAAGCUGUCGCUUGGGGAUGAGCCUGCGUCCUAUUAGUUAGUUGGUGAGGUAACGGCUCACCUAGGCAAUGAUAGGUAGGCGGCCUUAACGGGUGGUCGCCCACACUGGGAUUGAGAUACGGCCCAGACUCCUACGGGAGGCAGCAGUCGAGAAUAGUCUACAAUGGUCGGAAGACUGAUAGUGCGACGCCGCGUGAACGAUGAAUCCCUUCGGGGUGUAAAGUUCUUUUAAUGUGAGCAGUGCUUCUUAUAUUAACAGUAUGGGGAGAGAGAUAUUAGCAUAUGAAUAAGCAACGGCUAACUCCGUGCCAGCAGCCGCGGUAAAA
rnacentral:rRNA from 1 species